rnacentral:misc_RNA from 1 species
AAGUCGUAACAAGGUUUCCGUAGGUGAACCUGCGGAAGGAUCAUUACAAAUCUCUGUCGGCCUGCCGACACAUAUGCACGGGGCCGCUGCCGACCUUUCAAAAGGUUGACUGGUGGCCCUGAUGUUUACGCUUGCAUGUUUGACAAAUAUGAUUGCCCAUCUAAAUAUAGACAACUUUUAACAAUGGAUCUCUUGGCUCUU